rnacentral:rRNA from 1 species
CGCAGGUGGUUUCUUAAGUCUGAUGUGAAAGCCCACGGCUCAACCGUGGAGGGUCAUUGGAAACUGGGAGACUUGAGUGCAGAAGAGGAUAGUGGAAUUCCAAGUGUAGCGGUGAAAUGCGUAGAGAUUUGGAGGAACACCAGUGGCGAAGGCGACUGUCUGGUCUGUAACUGACGCUGAGGCUCGAAAGCAUGGGUAGCAAACA